GUGCCAGCAGCCGCGGUAAGACAGAGGGUGCAAACGUUGUUCGGAAUUACUGGGCAUAAAGCGCGCGUAGGCCGUUCGCUAAGUCAGGUGUGAAAGCCCCCGGCUCAACCGGGGAAUUGCAUUUGAUACUGGCGAGCUUGAGGAUGAGAUGGGUGGGCGGAACUCCAGGUGGAGCGGUGAAAUGCGUAGAUAUCUGGAGGAACACCGGUGGCGAAAGCGGCCCACUGGACCAUCACUGACGCUGAGGCGCGAAAGCUAGGGUAGCAAACGGGAUUAGAAACCCUCGUAGUCC
rnacentral:rRNA from 1 species